rnacentral:rRNA from 1 species
CCCCUAGUAACUGCGAGUGAAGCGGGAAAAGCUCAAAUUUAAAAUCUGGCAGUCUUUGGCUGUCCGAGUUGUAAUCUAGAGAAGUGUUAUCCGCGCUGGACCGUGUACAAGUCUCCUGGAAUGGAGCGUCAUAGAGGGUGAGAAUCCCGUCUUUGACACGGACUACCAGGGCUUUGUGAUGCGCUCUCAAAGAGUCGAGUUGUUUGGGAAUGCAGCUCAAAAUGGGUGGUAAAUUCCAUCUAAAGCUAAAUAUUGGCGAGAGACCGAUAGCGAACAAGUACCGUGAGGGAAAGAUGAAAAGAACUUUGGAAAGAGAGUUAAACAGUACGUGAAAUUGCUGAAAGGGAAACGCUUGAAGUCAGUCGCGUUAUCCAGGGAUCAGCCUUGCUUUUGCUUGGUGCACUUUCUGGUUGACGGGUCAGCAUCAAUUUUGACUAUUGGAAAAAGAUCAGGGGAAUGUGGCUUCUUUGGAUGUGUUAUAGCCCUUGGUUGCAUACAAUGGUUGGGAUUGAGGAACUCAGCACGCCGCAAGGCCGGGUUUUAAACCACGUACGUGCUUAGGAUGCUGGCAUAAUGGCUUUAAUCGACCCGUCUUGAAACACGGACCAAGGAGUCUAACAUGCCUGCGAGUGUUUGGGUGGAAAACCCGAGCGCGUAAUGAAAGUGAAAGUUGAGAUCCCUGUCGUGGGGAGCAUCGACGCCCAGACCAGACCUUUUGUGACGGUUCUGCGGUAGAGCAUGUAUGUUGGGACCCGAAAGAUGGUGAACUAUGCCUGAAUAGGGUGAAGCCAGAGGAAACUCUGGUGGAGGCUCGUAGCGAUUCUGACGUGCA